rnacentral:tRNA from 1 species
GCCUUCGUGGUGUAAUCGUCAGCACAGUCGACGCGCAUUCUAGAAGUCCGAGGUUCGAGUCUCGGCGAGGGCA